rnacentral:rRNA from 1 species
CCUACGUGAGGCAGCAGUGGGGAAUAUUGCACCAUGGGGGAAACCCUGAUGCAGCGACGCCGCGUGAGUGAAGAAGUAAUUCGUUAUGUAACGCUCUAUCAGCAGGGAAGAAAAUGACGGUACCUGAGUAAGAAGCCCCGGCUAACUACGUGCCAGCAGCCGCGGUAAUACGUAGGGGGCAAGCGUUAUCCGGAUUUACUGGGUGUAAAGGGAGCGUAGACGGCAGUGCAAGUCUGGAGUGAAAGGCGGGGGCUCAACCCCCGGACUGCUCUGGAAACUGUACGGCUGGAGUGCAGGAGAGGUAAGUGGAAUUCCUAGUGUAGCGGUGAAAUGCGUAGAUAUUAGGAGGAACACCAGUGGCGAAGGCGGCUUACUGGACUGUAACUGACGUUGAGGCUCGAAAGCGUGGGGAGCAAACAGGAUUAGAUACCCUAGUAGUC